AGCGCAUGCCUACGGGAGCAGCAGUGGGGAAUAUUGGGCAAUGGACGCAAGUCUGACCCAGCAACGCCGCGUGAAGGAAGAAGGCUUUCGGGUUGUAAACUUCUUUUAAGGGGGAAGAGCAGAAGACGGUACCCCUUGAAUAAGCCACGGCUAACUACGUGCC
rnacentral:rRNA from 1 species